rnacentral:lncRNA from 1 species
GUCACCCCAAGAGAAAUAAGUCUCAGCCCAUCAACUUGCUGAUGCUACAACUUCUCUGAGAGAGGUGAGGAUGUUCUCAAAGGAGGCAAGAAUACUCAUUAUUGAAAAGGCUUUGAUAUUUCUGUGUUGGAUUAGUCUUUGAUAUUUGGAAAUCAGAUCAUCAUUAUUGGAGCAGUGGCGUUCUUAAUGAGGGAAAAAAAAACAUCUAAAGCGAACUAAAUGGUGGAGAGGAAAGUCUGUAAAUGUUAAUAGCACUUUACAACCAUUAUCCCAAUUUGCUCCUGUAACAAUCAUGAACGAGAAGAGUGAAGAACUAUUGGGCUGUUCCUUAGAAUAGAGACAGUGAUGUGGACAAGGCAGUAUACAACGUAUGGGCAUAAGAGGGAGUCUUAUGGGACCAGAUCCAGCAGCACUGGUCAGUGAUGGAUUGGAAGAAAACUCGCCCUUCAGCACAGAAGGUUUGAGCAGCACAGCUUUACUGGGUCCUCCUGGGUUAAUCCUUCCUAAACGUACUUGUCUUGUGAAUUAUUCCCUUACGCAACGAUUUUAAUGUCUUCUCGUCUUCCAUUGUAUCAUGUUGUAUUAGUCCGUUCUCACGCUGCUAGGAAGAAAUACCUGAGACUGGGUAAUUUAUAAAGAAAAGAGGUUUAAUUGACUCAGUGCCGCGAGGCCGGGGAG